rnacentral:rRNA from 1 species
UACGUAGGGUGCAAGCGUUAUCCGGAUUUACUGGGUGUAAAGGGCGAGUAGACGGUUUUGUAAGUCAGAUGUGAAAACUUAGAGCUCAACUUUAAGACUGCAUCUGAAACUGUAGAACUAGAGUGCAGGAGAGGUAAGCGGAAUUCCUAGUGUAGCGGUGAAAUGCGUAGAUAUUAGGAGGAACACCAGUGGCGAAGGCGGCUUACUGGACUGUAACUGACGUUGAGGCGCGAAAGUGUGGGGAGCAAACAGG